ACAACAUGUAGAGUGGAGGAGAUUGUAUAACUGGAUAUUUUGAGCCAACAAAUUACAUAAUUAAACAAUCACCAUUAGUUUAAAUAGAAAGCAGGUUGGAACUUUCAAUCUAAAGUUCAGGGGAACCAUUGCAAAAGACAUGUACACCAUGGCAGGCUGGCUUCGGUGAUUCCAGGGUGUGUCACAUAGGUAUCCAUGAAGAAGAUACGUGUUUUGGUAGCUUCAGUACUGAGGAAUGGUUGAGCUCCUGGCAUGUUACCCAGCAACAAGGCUUAAAACGCUCUGGAGCUGUGGGCGCCAUCAGGCUCACACCAAGAAGGGAGGAACCACUGUUCUUCACUGCUUGCAUGUUCUUUCCAAGUCUC